UACAGAGGUCUCGAGCGUUGUUCGGAUUCAUUGGGCGUAAAGGGCGCGUAGGCGGCGGGGUAAGUCUGGUGUGAAAUCUCGGAGCUCAACUCCGAAAUUGCACUGGAUACUGCUCUGCUAGAGGGCUGGAGAGGAGAUCGGAAUUCACGGUGUAGCGGUGAAAUGCGUAGAUAUCGUAAGGAAGACCAGUGGCGAAGGCGGGUCUCUGGACAGUUCCUGACGCUGAGGCACGAAGGUCAGGGGAGCAAACGGG
rnacentral:rRNA from 1 species